GAUGAACGCUGGCGGCGUGCCUAAUACAUGCAAGUUGAGCGAACAGACGAGGAGCUUGCUCCUUCGACGUUAGCGGCGGACGGGUGAGUAACACGUAGGUAACCUACCUAUAAGACUGGGAUAACUUCGGGAAACCGGAGCUAAUACCGGAUAAUAUUUCGAACCGCAUGGUUCGAUAGUGAAAGAUGGCUUUGCUAUCACUUAUAGAUGGACCUGCGCCGUAUUAGCUAGUUGGUAAGGUAACGGCUUACCAAGGCAACGAUACGUAGCCGACCUGAGAGGGUGAUCGGCCACACUGGAACUGAGACACGGUCCAGACUCCUACGGGAGGCAGCAGUAGGGAAUCUUCCGCAAUGGGCGAAAGCCUGACGGAGCAACGCCGCGUGAGUGAUGAAGGUCUUCGGAUCGUAAAACUCUGUUAUUAGGGAAGAACAAACGUGUAAGUAACUGUGCACGUCUUGACGGUACCUAAUCAGAAAGCCACGGCUAACUACGUG
rnacentral:rRNA from 1 species